rnacentral:rRNA from 1 species
UGACCUCAAAUCAGGUAGGAUUACCCGCUGAACUUAAGCAUAUCAAUAAGCGGAGGAAAAGAAACUAACAAGGAUUCCCCUAGUAACUGCGAGUGAAGCGGGAAAAGCUCAAAUUUAAAAUCUGGCAGUCUUUGGCUGUCCGAGUUGUAAUCUAGAGAAGUGCUAUCCGCGCUGGACCGUGUACAAGUCUCCUGGAAUGGAGCGUCAUAGAGGGUGAGAAUCCCGUCUUUGACACGGACUACCAGGGCUUUUGUGAUGUGCUCUCAAAGAGUCGAGUUGUUUGGGAAUGCAGCUCAAAAUGGGUGGUAAAUUCCAUCUAAAGCUAAAUAUUGGCGAGAGACCGAUAGCGAACAAGUACCGUGAGGGAAAGAUGAAAAGAACUUUGGAAAGAGAGUUAAACAGUACGUGAAAUUGCUGAAAGGGAAACGCUUGAAGUCAGUCGCGUUGUCCAGGGAUCAACCUUGCUUUUGCUUGGUGCACUUCCUGGUUGACGGGUCAGCAUCAAUUUUGACCAUUGGAAAAAGGUCAGGGGAAUGUGGCAUCUUCGGAUGUGUUAUAGCCCUUGGUUGCAUACAAUGGUUGGGAUUGAGGAACUCAGCACGCCGCAAGGCCGGGUU